ensembl:lncRNA
CACAAGUCCGAGUUGAGAGGGUUUGCCAAGUGUUCCCGCUGCCGUGUGUUUCCGUCCCAGCUCGUUAGAGGAGGGGCAUUAGUCAGGGGCCGCCAGGAUGAAAUGACGCUUCAACCCCGUCGCUGCAAGAAAAGCGAAAACAAGAGGGAUGCAUGUUGCAUGGAGUAGGAAUAACCUGCUUAAAUACACGCGUACGCCUAUUGUCUGACACAUUUAUAAUGUCGUGAGUGGAGAGGUCUUUUAGAACCAUGGAGAGCUCACAUGAAGAUGAGCCAGUGGGGUCUGCUCUCUUUCCUCUUGUAGAGCACUUUAUGAGACAUCCCAUCCGUGUCUGUCACAGUAAUACAGAUGCCGGACCCACUCUGUAUGAUCGUCGGCCAUGAUUUGUUUCUUUCAGGUCUUUUUGCGGUCUGGACUUGCUGUCACAUGACAAUCCAGGAAGCCCUUACCCCAAAAAGCAUCUGCAAGAGGCCCUAACAACCAGGAUGGUUCACACAUGUUUUCAUGUUGACAUAGGGCUUCACAACAUAUAAAUUGAAAUCUAACUCUUUACAUUUAUGUUAAGCGUGAGUAGCAUGAGUACAGCGUGAGUACAUUAGUGUGCAUUUGACUUCCUCAUUCCAACGAAAAAAGUCAGUGUGCGUGUCAAAAUUCACACAGUACCUGUCGUUAAAUAGUUUGAGUAAAUGUAAAUCACUCACCCUGAUUUUGACGGUUCCACUCAAAAACCAGCAGGAGAUAAGAAUUAAGACCCUUAAAUGUAAUGUAAAUGCAUGUGAAGUGAGACAUUGUUCUUCCACGAGGUGGCAGUGAGGCUCUGUUCCUUUUUCCUUUUUUGGACUCGGAAACAAAACUUGGAAAUCUCACUUACCCAUAAUAUAUUCAAAGACACACCAGUAACCCAGUUGGGGCGUGUGUCUGGUUAUUUCCAGCAUAAUAAGUAAUACAAAUGUGGUGGCAUAUGUUUUUCCUUAAAGUGAAUGACGCUUUUUGGCCUAUUGUUAACAUGUCUGGAAUCAAUAAAUAAUUCCUUUAGAAAUUUGUCAUUUCAAGAGUGAAAAACACGAGUUGCAAGCAAUUUCUGCCCGACAGUGAUGCAUGUUGUGCUUCUAGUUAAAUACACAUAAUAACACCUCAUCACAUUAAUGGUAAACUGAUCUUUAUCUAUUUGCAACAAAACUAUCGAUCAUCAAUCGAUAUGAACAUAUACAAACUGGUCUAAAAAGUCUCUCAACACGUCAUUGAUCAUAGUUUGAAAAACUGCUGGGGCAUUGGUGAGGUCAAAAGGCAGA